AGUUCCAACGGGGCGCAGCAGUGAGGGAUAUUGGGCAAUGGGGGAAACCCUGACCCAGCGACGCCGCGUGAGGGAAGACGGUCUUCGGAUUGUAAACCUCUGUCUUUGGGGACGAAAAAGGACGGUACCCAAGGAGGAAGCUCCGGCUAACUACGUGCCAGCAGCCGCGGUAAUACGUAGGGAGCGAGCGUUGUCCGGAAUUACUGGGGGUAAAGGUAGCGUAGGCGGGAUUGCAAGUUGGAUGUGAAAACUGCGGGGUCAACCCGGAGCGUGCAGUCAAAACUGCGAUUCUUGAGU
rnacentral:rRNA from 1 species